UUCGAGCGGACAGAAGGGAGCUUGCUCCCGGAUGUUAGCGGCGGACGGGUGAGCUAACACGUGGGUAACCUGCCUGUAAGACUGGGAUAACUCCGGGAAACCGGAGCUAAUACCGGAUAGUUCCUUGAACCGCAUGGUUCAAGGAUGAAAGACGGUUUCGGCUGUCACUUACAGAUGGACCCGCGGCGCAUUAGCUAGUUGGUGGGGUAAUGGCUCACCAAGGCGACGAUGCGUAGCCGACCUGAGAGGGUGAUCGGCCACACUGGGACUGAGACACGGCCCAGACUCCUACGGGAGGCAGCAGUAGGGAAUCUUCCGCAAUGGACGAAAGUCUGACGGAGCAACGCCGCGUGAGUGAUGAAGGUUUUCGGAUCGUAAAGCUCUGUUGUUAGGGAAGAACAAGUGCGAGAGUAACUGCUCGCACCUUGACGGUACCUAACCAGAAAGCCACGGCUAACUACGUGCCAGCAGCCGCGGUAAUACGUAGGUGGCAAGCGUUGUCCGGAAUUAUUGGGCGUAAAGGGCUCGCAGGCGGUUUCUUAAGUCUGAUGUGAAAGCCCCCGGCUCAACCGGGGAGGGUCAUUGGAAACUGGGAAACUUGAGUGCAGAAGAGGAGAGUGGAAUUCCACGUGUAGCGGUGAAAUGCGUAGAGAUGUGGAGGAACACCAGUGGCGAAGGCGACUCUCUGGUCUGUAACUGACGCUGAGGAGCGAAAGCGUGGGGAGCGAACGGGAUUAGAUACCCUGGUAGUCCACGCCGUAAACGAUGAGUGCUAAGUGUUAGGGGGUUCCCCCCCCUUAUGGUGCCGCUAACGCAUUAAGCCUCCCCCUGGGGAUUACGGUCCCA
rnacentral:rRNA from 1 species